rnacentral:rRNA from 1 species
UACGAAGGGGGCUAGCGUUGUUCGGAAUUACUGGGCGUAAAGCGCGCGUAGGCGGACAUUUAAGUCAGGGGUGAAAUCCCGGGGCUCAACCCCGGAACUGCCUCUGAUACUGGGUGUCUAGAGUUCGGAAGAGGUAAGUGGAAUUGCGAGUGUAGAGGUGAAAUUCGUAGAUAUUCGGCGGAACACCAGUGGCGAAGGCGACUCACUGGCCCGAUACUGACGCUGAGGCGCGAAAGCGUGGGGAGCAAACAGG